rnacentral:snoRNA from 1 species
AUGCACUGUUUGUAACCUGCUACCAGAUUUACUGCUGACAGGUUCCGUUCCAGUGCUACAGGAAUGCCCAGAAUAAUAUAAGAAUGGCAAAACUUGUCUGUCUGAUUUUAUCUUUGGGAGAGAA